rnacentral:misc_RNA from 1 species
UUUCCGUAGGUGAACCUGCGGAAGGAUCAUUAUCAUGUAAUUCAGUCCCCUUGGCUGUGUUAUAUAUAUACCCACUCUGUGUACCUUCUCCUGUUGCUUCCGCUGGGUGUGUAAUUCGCCCGGCGGAAGGGUAAAAAUAACCUCUGAGUAUUGAUGAAAUCCCUGUCUGAACCGAAUAGAAAGGAAAAUGUUAAAACUUUCAGCAACGGAUCUCUUGGUUCUC